GAUGAACGCUGGCGGCGUGCCUAAUACAUGCCAGUCGAGCGGAAAGGCGCUGCGUUUGUUGCUUUCUCGUUUGGGGAAGGGGGGUGUAUCACGCGUGGAACCUGUCCUUGUCUUUGUGAUAACUUUUCGGGAAUGGGGCGAUUAUCGGGUAUAAUCUCCUGCUGCGUGUGGUUGGUUAGUAAAUGUCGGCGGUUGUGGAUGGACUCGAUGCUUAUCAGCUGGAUUGGGUGGUAGGUGCUUUCCAAGGGUUUGACGGGUAGCCCGCAUGAGAGGGUGACCGGCCACAUUGGGACUGAGAUACGCCCCAGACUCCUACGGGAGGCAGCAGUGGGGAAUAUUGCACAAUGGGCGGAAGCCUGAUGCAGCAACGCCGCGUGCGGGAUGCCGGCCUUCGGGUUGUAAACCGCUUUCGACUGUGACGAAGCGUGAGUGACGGUAAUGGGUAAAGAAGCACCGGCUAACUACGUG
rnacentral:rRNA from 1 species